rnacentral:rRNA from 1 species
UACGAAGGGGGCUAGCGUUGCUCGGAAUUACUGGGCGUAAAGCGCGCGUAGGCGGGUCGUUAAGUCGGGGGUGAAAUCUCCCGGCUCAACUGGGAGGGUGCGCCGAAUACUGAAUGACUUGGAGUGCGGGAGAGGAAAGUGGAAUUCCUGGUGUAGCGGUGAAAUGCGUAGAUAUCAGGAGGAACACCGGUGGUGUAGACGGCUGUCUGGACCGUAACUGACGCUGAGACACGAAAGCGUGGGUAGCAAACAGG